rnacentral:lncRNA from 1 species
CCCAAAAAUAUUUAUUUUGUUACGUAUUUGUAUACGUAAAAUCCGUCUUUUUAUUUGUGACGGACUUAAAAAUUGACGGAGAAUUUAUUCAUCCACCAAAAUAUUGUAGUAUCUAUUCUUUGUCCGUGUAAAUAAAUGUGAAGGUCAAAAUUAUCAAAGAGAUUUAUGAAGGAAUAGCAAACGGCCAAAAACAGUAAACAAGCCAUGAAAAUUACCAAAUUUCGGCCAAACUCCAGCAAACAUCAAUAUAAUGAUAAAGUAAACAAUAACAUCUCCCAAAAUGCUAUUAUGGCCAACAUCCAAAACAUAAAUCUGAAAACAAAUAAUGGAGAAAAGUAGAACAUCAUUAUUCCGUUUAGAUUGAGACCAAAAUCCAAUAAUACCCCAAUAAUACAUAAACAAUAGGAACCAUACUAUAGGAGAAACUUUCGUUCAGUGAUAGCGACAAAAUAGAGGAGAAAGAGAACAGCGUCGCUUUCACGACUUUCGCCGGAGCGAUGACGGAAAAUGGGUACCUUCGGACAGAUCUAGCUAGCAAUGAUGAGGGAAACAGUGAAAGGGAGAGGAGUAAAAGAGAGGGGUGACACGACUCUCUAGUGGUUCUACUGGAGCAUUUUCGCGAUUGGCGACGGUGACAGAAAACUAUCGGGCUCUCCGGCAACCAACUCCGGCUAGGCAACGCUGGAUAGGGUGACGGGAGAAAGGAAAUGGGAGAAAGAGAGAUCAACGGAAAUAGCGGUCGGAGAGAACGAG